GAUGAACGCUAGCGACAGGCUUAACACAUGCAAGUCGAGGGGCAGCAGGGGAGUAGCAAUACUCCCGCUGGCGACCGGCGCACGGGUGAGUAACACGUAUGCAACCUGCCCUUGUCAGGGGGAUAAGCGGAAGAAAUUCCGUCUAAUACCGCAUAAUGCUGCGGGGAGACAUCUCCCUGCAGCCAAAGAUUUAUCGGACAAGGAUGGGCAUGCGGCGCAUUAGCUUGUUGGCGGGGUAACGGCCCACCAAGGCGACGAUGCGUAGGGGUUCUGAGAGGAAGGUCCCCCACACUGGUACUGAGACACGGACCAGACUCCUACGGGAGGCAGCAGUGAGGAAUAUUGGUCAAUGGCCGGGAGGCUGAACCAGCCAAGUCGCGUGAGGGAAGACGGUCCUAUGGAUUGUAAACCUCUUUUGUCAGGGAGCAAAAACUGCCACGUGUGGCAGGAUGAGAGUACCUGAAGAAAAAGCAUCGGCUAACUCCGUGCCAGCAGCCGCGGUAAUACGGAGGAUGCGAGCGUUAUCCGGAUUUAUUGGGUUUAAAGGGUGCGUAGGCGGACAGUUAAGUCAGCGGUAAAAUUGAGAGGCUCAACCUCUUCCCGCCGUUGAAACUGAUUGUCUUGAGUGGGCGAGAAGUAUGCGGAAUGCGUGGUGUAGCGGUGAAAUGCAUAGAUAUCACGCAGAACUCCGAUUGCGAAGGCAGCAUACCGGCGCCCAACUGACGCUGAAGCACGAAAGCGUGGGUAUCGAACAGGAUUAGAUACCCUGGUAGUCCACGCAGUAAACGAUGAAUACUAAUUGUUCGGGUCAAAUGAGAUCUGAGUGAUACAGCGAAAGCGUUAAGUAUUCCACCUGGGGAGUACGCCGGCAACGGUGAAACUCAAAGGAAUUGACGGGGGCCCGCACAAGCGGAGGAACAUGUGGUUUAAUUCGAUGAUACGCGAGGAACCUUACCCGGGCUCAAACGACACAGGAAUGAUCUGAGAAAUCAGGCAGUCCUCCGGGACCUGUGUCGAGGUGCUGCGUGGUUGUCGUCAGCUCGUGCCGUGAGGUGUCGGCUUAAGUGCCAUAACGAGCGCAACCCCCAUCGACAGUUGCCAGCAGGUCAAGCUGGGCACUCUGUCGAGACUGCCGGCGCAAGCUGUGAGGAAGGCGGGGAUGACGUCAAAUCAGCACGGCCCUUACGUCCGGGGCGACACACGUGUUACAAUGGCAGGUACAGCGGGAAGCCACCUGGCGACAGGGAGCGGAACCCGAAAGCCUGUCUCAGUUCGGAUUGGAGUCUGCAACUCGACUCCAUGAAGCUGGAUUCGCUAGUAAUCGCGCAUCAGCCACGGCGCGGUGAAUACGUUCCCGGGCCU
rnacentral:rRNA from 1 species